rnacentral:miRNA from 14 species
ACACACACACACACACACACACACACACACAUAUAUAUAUACAUAUAUAUAUAUAUGUAUAUAUAUAUGUGUGUGUGUGUGUGUGUGUGUGUGU